UCUCUCUCCUCUUUCUCUUUCUUUCCUUACUAUUUUUUUUUUAGUAAUUCUCUCAUUGAGCUGCUGGGACACCUCCGCUACCAUAAUCAUCGCUAUUCCCACCGGCGUCAAAGUAUUUAGCUGACUCGCUACACUCCACGGAAGCAAUAUGAAAUGAUCUGCUGCGGUGCUCUGAGCCCUGGGAUUCAUUUUUCUCUUCACUGUAGGCGGCCUAACUGGCAUUGUAUUAGCAAACUCAUCACUAGACAUCGUACUACACGACACAUACUACGUCGUAGCCCACUUCCACUACGUCCUAUCAAUAGGAGCUGUAUUCGCCAUCAUAGGGGGCUUCAUUCACUGAUUUCCCCUAUUCUCAGGCUACACCCUAGACCAAACCUACGCUAAAAUCCAUUUCGCUAUCAUAUUCAUCGGCGUAAACCUAACUUUCUUCCCACAACACUUUCUUGGCCUAUCUGGAAUACCCCGACGUUACUCGGACUACCCCGAUGCAUACACCACAUGAAAUAUCCUAUCAUCUGUAGGCUCAUUCAUUUCCCUAACAGCAGUAAUAUUAAUAAUUUUCAUGAUUUGAGAAGCCUUCGCUUCAAAGCGAAAAGUCCUAAUAAUAGAAGAACCCUCCAUAAACCUGGAGUGACUAUAUGGAUGCGCCCCACCCUACCACACAUUCGAAGAACCCGUAUACAUAAAAUCUAGACAAAAAAGGAAGGAAUCGAACCCCCUGGGAGUAUUACCUAAAUGAAUGCUUAUGAAAGAUUCCAGCACAAUAGCUGAGUGCACAUACUAACACAUGUUAAUUCUUACUUACCUUUCAACAUCUCACAGUAAAGUUAAAUCUGGAUAUUUAUGAAAAUACGUAACAGCCUGGAUAUAUAUGAAAUAACAAUCCAGGCUGUUCAUUAAGAUAAUGAGCAAUUGAUGUAAAAUAACAAGGCUAGCAGAGAUGGAUUAAAGAAAUAAUCUGGAAUUUGAUGGUAAUAAUAUACGAGGGGAUAGUAUUGUGCACCUCCACAAAGAAACACACACAGAGAAACACGGAAAUAAACUGCAUGAUUGGAUGGAUUUGGACACUUUUUUUUUCUGGAAAUGUGCUGCCAUAGAGCUAGAGAAAGAAAUGAAAACUGAAUUGACCCCCUUUCCAGAGCUUUACAAACUCACUCAAAUGUGUGGGAUGAAUAUGUACAAGGCAGUUCUAGUGAGAUUUACAGGUCAAAUCUAAAUUCUUCCUUGAGGAGCUUGGAUUUGUUGUUUGUUUUGUUUUGUUAUGUUCACCCAACAGGGAUUUAUUUUUAACUUCCCUUAGUUUUGUA
rnacentral:lncRNA from 10 species